rnacentral:rRNA from 1 species
UACGUAGGGUGCGAGCGUUGUCCGGAAUUAUUGGGCGUAAAGAGCUCGUAGGCGGCUUGUCACGUCGGAUGUGAAAGCCCGGGGCUUAACCCCGGGUCUGCAUUCGAUACGGGCAGGCUAGAGUGUGGUAGGGGAGAUCGGAAUUCCUGGUGUAGCGGUGAAAUGCGCAGAUAUCGGGAGGAACACCGGUGGCGAAGGCGGCCUUCUGGACCAGCACUGACACUCAAGCACGAAAGCGUGGGGAGCAAACAGG